rnacentral:rRNA from 1 species
AGCGAACGCUGGCGGCAUGCUUAACACAUGCAAGUCGCACGGUCAGCAAUGGCAGUGGCGGACGGGUGAGUAACGCGUAGGUAUCUAUCCUUGGAAUGGGGGACAACCGUGGGAAACUACGGCUAAUACCGCAUGAUCGCAGGAGAACGAGAAGUAGCGUUGAGGAGGAGCCUGCGUCUGAUUAGGUAGUUGGUGGGGUAAAGGCCUACCAAGCCUACGAUCAGUAGCUGGUCUGAGAGGAUGAUCAGCCACAUUGGGACUGAGACACGGCCCGAACUCCUACGGGAGGCAGCAGUGGGGAAUAUUGGACAAUGGGCGCAAGCCUGAUCCAGCAAUGCCGCGUGGGUGAAGAAGGUCUUCGGAUUGUAAAGCCCUUUUGGCGGGGACGAUGAUGACGGUACCUGCAGAAUAAGCCCCGGCUAACUUCGUG